UCUCGUUAGAUCACCGAAGUCAAGCAUCAUUGGGCGCGGUCAGUACUUGGGUGGGUGACCACCUGGGAACACCGCGUGCCGUU